rnacentral:rRNA from 1 species
CACGUAGGGCGCAAGCGUUGUCCGGAAUUAUUGGGCGUAAAGAGCUCGUAGGCGGUCUGUUGCGUCCGCUGUGAAAACUCGGGGCUUAACCCCGAGCCUGCAGUGGAUACGGGCAGACUAGAGGUAGGUAGGGGAGAAUGGAAUUCCCGGUGUAGCGGUGAAAUGCGUAGAUAUCAGGAGGAACACCUGUGGUGUAGACAGCUUACUGGACCAUCACUGACGCUGAAACACGAAAGCGUGGGUAGCAAACAGG